AUGAUGGCGAAGCAAGAGUGGCAUAUUAUGACGAAUCCGAACACCUUGGUAGCCAUGAUUUUUAAAGUAAGAUGGAGGAUUGGUGAUGGAAGAAAAACUAAGGUGAUGUCUGAGCCAUGUUUGAGAAGCGAAAGAAAUGGUUGGGUGGUGCACCACAAGGCCAAAGGUGAUUGGUGUAUCUUGUGGAAGAUUAAAGCACCACCAAAAGCUAAACAAUUAUUAAGGCAGAUAUGUCGCGGCUGCCUCCCAACAUGA